AAGCCAGACAAUUCAUCUAUUUAUGUCAAUGUUUUUUGCAGAAAUUUAGAAAAACCUGUCAAUAGUGAUGCUCUUUUACAAGCCUUAAUGGCAGUAGGUCAUUAUCGUCUCUGAAAAUGGCUAGAAUA